AAGACGGAGGAGGCAAGCGUUAUCCGGAAUUAUUGGGCGUAAAGCGUCCGCAGGCGGCUUUUUAAGUCUGCUGUUAAAGCCCACAGCUCAACUGUGGAUCGGCAGUGGAAACUGGAGA
rnacentral:rRNA from 1 species